rnacentral:ncRNA from 1 species
UGGUCAAACCCGGUCAUUUAGAGGAAGUAAAAGUCGUAACAAGGUUUCCGUAGGUGAACCUGCGGAAGGAUCAUUACCGAGUGAGGGUUUCUCUGAAGCCCAACCUCCCACCCGUGUAUACCGUACCCUGUUGCUUCGGCGGGCCCGCCUCACGGCCGCCGGGGGACCUCGCGUCCCCGGGCCCGCGCCCGCCGAAGACCCCAACACGAACACUGUCUGAAAAGUGCAGUCUGAGUCGAUUGUUACCAAUCAGUCAAAACUUUCAACAAUGGAUCUCUUGGUUCCGGCAUCGAUGAAGAACGCAGCGAAAUGCGAUAACUAAUGUGAAUUGCAGAAUUCAGUGAAUCAUCGAGUCUUUGAACGCACAUUGCGCCCCCUGGUAUUCCGGGGGGCAUGCCUGUCCGAGCGUCAUUGCUGCCCUCAAGCACGGCUUGUGUGUUGGGCCCCGUCCCCGGUACCCCCGGGGACGGGCCCGAAAGGCAGCGGCGGCACCGCGUCCGGUCCUCGAGCGUAUGGGGCUUUGUCACCCGCUCUGCAGGCCCGGCCGGCGCCAGCCGACCAACCCAACCAUUUUUUACAGGUUGACCUCGGAUCAGGUAGGGAUACCCGCUGAACUUAAGCAUAUCAAUAAGCGGAGGAAAAGAAACCAACCGGGAUUGCCUCAGUAACGGCGAGUGAAGCGGCAAGAGCUCAAAUUUGAAAGCUGGCUCCUUCGGGGUCCGCAUUGUAAUUUGCAGAGGAUGCUUCGGGUGCGGCCCCUGUCUAAGUGCCCUGGAACGGGCUGUCAGAGAGGGUGAGAAUCCCGUCUGGGAUG